UUAUCCUUUUCCUCCCUGUCUUGCCUCCUGUCUCCCAUCCAUUCCUUUUCCUCUGCUUUCCCUCACAGCACUGCACCUGAGUGGAGUUCGGCUUCACAGCCGUCUCCACUCAGGUAAUCAACCUCCUCCACGAGUCCCGGGCAGCUGGAAGAAAUCAUCCUGAUUACUCACCAAGCAAUAAGUACCGGCUCAACACUCCACACCCUGCCAGAUUGUUGAAAUAGACUGCUACCCAGCUGCCCGGGAACUUACCCACCCGAAACCCUCACCUGAACCCCCCAACCCAUUCGCCACCAGUCUCCUCCCCACUCGGAUCCCCCAUUCCGCCCGGACCCCCUCCUGGAACCCCCGACCCAUUUCCUUCCCGGCCGCUGGAGCUGCAGCAGUCAACCGGCUGCUCCCUGCCUCCCGGAGCUCCUCCCGGAACAUCACCUGCGAGACGCCGUCUCUGCCCGGCCAGUCCAACACCUCGGCCCCCCGGAUCGUCAGAGUGCUACGUCUCGUUCCCUCCGAACCCCUCCUCCUCCAUCGAACUCUGAGCCCUUUGACGUCUGGCCGCCAGGGAUCCCCCACAGCCAUCUGCGACGCUCCGGUCCCGCCCGGACCUUGGACAACCGCCGAUCCCCGUCCCCAGACCCACCCGGCCACAUCCUCCCUCCACCAGCAUCCCUGUUCCUGCAUCCCGGUCUCUGCACUCCAGCCAUAUCCACCCCUGUACAAUAAAACCCUUUUUCAACUUC